GAUGAACGCUGGCGGCGUGCUUAAUACAUGCAAGUCGAGCGAGGACCACUCGGUGGCAACACCGGGUGGCUCCUAGCGGCGAACGGGUGAGUAACACGUGAGCAACCUGCCCCCGACACUGGGAUAAGCCCGGGAAACUGGGUCUAAUACCGGAUACGAGCCUCCUCCGCAUGGUGGAGGCUGGAAAGGGUCUCCGGUCGGGGAUGGGCCCGCGGCCUAUCAGCUUGUUGAUGGGGUAACGGCCCACCAAGGCGACGACGGGUAGCCGGCCUGAGAGAGUGAACGGCCACACUGAAACUGAGACACGACCCAGACUCCUACGGGAGGCAGCAGUAGGGAAUCUUGCGCAAUGGGCGAAAGCCUGACGCAGCGACGCCGCGUGUGGGACGAAGGCCCUCGGGUUGUAAACCGCUUUCAGCAGGGACGAAGCGAAAGUGACGGUACCUGCAGAAGAAGGUCCGGCCAACUACGUGCCAGCAGCCGCCGCUGUAA
rnacentral:rRNA from 1 species